AACACGGGACUUAGAAGAAACACUCAAACCAUAGCACCAGUGGAGCAGCGAUUUCAACAGAGUUGGUGAGAUUCAGGCAGGGAUGGCAAAACAAGGCCUUUUAUACACAUGUGCGAUGUUUAAGUCAUGGAUUGGGAGAAUCAAGGCACAGGAAGAGUUAGAAGUUGGAAAACCCGGGUCACAAAGCAUGAAGAACUGAGAAUCCAUGCGGGUGCCCUGGAAGCCUCUGGCAACUUUACUAGACCAUCCAGGAGGCUACUGGAGAGGUCCAGGAUCUGCUGUUUCAAGUGUCUGCCUCCUGGUAGUCUCCAGCGAAGUCAUUCUUCCUUUUGGGGUAUUAUACUCGGUUGCCGGUUGCCAUGGAAGUGAGGGCUGGCUGAUUCACACAGAAGGGGGGCAGGGCCCACUCGCAAGCCCUCAAGCACACUGGAUGAUUUCAGUUACUUAAAUCCCUGCAGCUUCUCAGAAGACGUCGACACCAUUUUGAUGAUGUUUGAAAACCUUUGACUUUGAUUUAGAAAUUGAGAUGCAUUUUUAAAAAUCUGUGACCUGUAUGAAAGCAGGCUAUUGAUAAAGAACCAAGAAUAAAUGGAACUUUGAAA